rnacentral:lncRNA from 1 species
AGUGGGUGCUCAGGGAUGUAGGCUGUAGGGCUCCAGGCUCUGAGUUGAGGAAAAUUGGAGUUAAAUUUCAGUGAAGUAACCCUGAGCAAGUCAGUCUCUGUCCAUCAGGUUCUUUUGUUUGUAAAAUGGAGGUAGCCAUGAGGAUUGUUCUGAGAAUGAGUUAAAUGGAAAGAUAUGCUCAAGAUGCCAGCGCAAAGCCAGAGACUCAAGGUUCGCAGCUGGUUGGAGCAAACCUCAAUGUCAGUGUGAAUCUUCCACCAUGGGAUUCAAGCUGCCUUGGCUCUAAAGUAAGAUCACAGCUGCAGUGAGCUGACCCCAACUCAAGAUGGAACCAUCUUAGAACAAGGCAUGAUCCAUCCAGAAACCCAGUGGAACUGAGCCGCGAGCUGGAUUCCAGCUCACAGAACACACCAAGAACUCUGGUGAAACAUCAAGAACUCUGGGGGGUCCCCCCAGAAAAAUCUGGGGGGCACUGCAGAGCUUCUGACACGGCUCUGGGGGAAAUCCCACACGGAUGGGCAGCUGCCUGCAUCUGGCACUGUGGAGGUGGGCGGGCAGCCAUGGAGGAUGGGGAGACUCAUCUUUCUAGACUUCUCCUGGGGACCGCAUUUCCUCCAGCCUCCAGGUCCAGACCAAAAUAGAAUGAGGUAAAUUCAGCCCCUUUCCUGAAGCACACUCAAGGAAUAAACAAGCACCACAAAUACAGUCUUCGGGCUGGGUCAUCUUUCCAACCUCAUUUUUUUUUUUUUUUAAGAGAACCACAGGCUGUUUUAAGAUUCCAAACCCAGAGACAGAAAAAGUGCAGCAAAGCAGGGCGACAAGGGGAAAGAAACUUGACAGUGCUUUGCAGACAGAAACAAGUGACGCAAUUUCCAAAUUCAAGAUUCUCAAAAACAGAGGCUGGGUUGGAACAUCUAGAGAAGGCCAGAGCGGGCUGUUCUAAGACUUAUUCUCACGGUAGC